AUUCCAGCUCCAAUAGCGUAUACUAAAGUUGUUGCAGUUAAAAAGCUCGUAGUUGAAUUUCUGGGUGUGAUAGGCGGUCCGUGUGCAUAACAUGUGUACCUCCCUCUCAUGCCCAUCCUCGAAGUGAAUAUGCAUUGCCUUAACUGUGUCGUGUAUAGGACCUUCGUCAUUUACUGUGAGCAAAAUAGAGUGUUCAAAGCAGGCUUAUGCCGUUGAAUAUAUUAACAUGGAAUAAUAAGAUAUGACUUCUGUCUAUUUUGUUGGUUUGCAUUCGGAAGUAAUGAUUAAUAGGGGUAGUUGGGGGUUUUCGUAUUCAAUUGUCAGAGGUGUAAUUCUUGGAUUUAUGGAAGACGAACUACUGCGAAAGCAUCAACCAAGGAUGUUUUCAUUA
rnacentral:rRNA from 1 species